AAUCAGAAUCAGCUGUGAUCAUAACAAAUAUACAGAAGUGAAACAAGUGAUCACUAUCAACAUUAAAUUAUUGUCAAAAGUGAAAAUAUUAAAUGUUUCAUGUUAUUUUUGAAUUAACUAGAAUUUAUUGAAGGUAUACCAAAAUAUUUUUUUAAGAAGAAGAAGAAGAAGUUGAAAUACGGUUUAUUAUGAAGGAAAAGGAUAUGUUUGUUAAAUUUUUCGACAGACUAGAAAUUUAUUUCUUUAAUACGUACUCUUCUUAUUAUUAUGACAAACAGAUUCAUGGAAUCGAAAACCGUCGAUGCGGGAACUUUAUUAAGAAGUUUAUUACAAGAUGUCAAGGAUAUGAAAAUUUGACGAGACUCUUGGCAGAUGAAAAUCUUUGGGAUGAAUUUACUUGAGGACUAAAAAUUUUUUUUCAUUCUUCUUAAUGUUCAAAAUACUGUUAAAAGACAGUGAAAGAAAAAAGCGAUAUGGGGUGAUACUUGAAACAUAAGAUCUAUGUCAUGGAAAAUUUUGAAGAUGCUGCAGAAAUAAAAGACGGCAAGGAACUUGAACAACAUUCAUCAGUUGAUUGAUAAAUUUUUCUAAAUUCGUUU